UAAUUAUUUAUGCAACAAUAAUAUAUAAUAAUAAUGUUUGAAGACUUAAGACUCGGUCGCCGAUAUCAAGAAAAUAUUUCCAUAAAUCAGAUUGCUAGCUGUGACGAUUAUACUUGCAGACAAAAUUCUUCCAUACGCUAAGAAUGCCUCGAAAUUUUGCCAAGAUCUGAAAGCUGCUUAAAGCCAGUUUCCACGAGAAUUUAGUAAAAUUUCGAAACUUAAAACUUCGUCGCCGAUAUAAGAAGAAUAUUGUGCAAAGCCAGAGGCACCUGGAAAUCCCCUCGAAAUUUAAAAAUGCUGAAGAGCAACCCUCCUCGAUAUUCCAACAACCAUCCUUUAAGAUCCUUCAAAACCCUUCCUCGACCCCAAAACAAAAGAAAAUUCAGUGUACAACGCGAUCGUCCGACCGCAUCGACGACAGUCGUCAGUCUGAUAUCGGUGAUCGCAGUAUUAGUAAUUUAAUAAAAUUAAACGAUUCCGUCUUCUCGAGAAUUACAAACGGCUGACCGAAUAUCGCAGUCGAAAUUUGCUGGCCGGUACAGGAAGAACACUCUUGCGAAUGAGAAACAUUCGAAAAUCCCUUUGAAAUCGAGAAAUUCUCGAAAACUAGCGUCCUCUGUGUCCGAAAAUCCCGCCUUCCAACAGCCUAAAGCCGUCUUUCAACGGGGCGACAAAAAAUUCCUGUAUUCAGCGUGAUCGUCUCAGCUGGUGGCAUCGACGACAGCCGACAGGGUAAUAUCGAAUUCC
rnacentral:misc_RNA from 1 species